CCUCCUUUUCUUGGCGGGGAUCAGUGUGCGGUCCUGGUCCGUGUAAUGUACGGAGGUAGAGGGAAAGGGCUUCGGCCCCCUCGGUGUCAUGUCUUUGGUCCCAGCGGCUUCCAUUCUGCGGGUUCUAUCCUCAAGCGCCAGGACACAG